rnacentral:rRNA from 1 species
GAGGAGCCCAGAGCCUGAAUCAGCAUGUGUGUUAGUGGAAGCGUCUGGAAAGGCGCGCGAUACAGGGUGACAGCCCCGUACACAAAAGCGCAUGUGCUGUGAGCUCGAUGAGUAGGGCGGGACACGUGGUAUCCUGUCUGAAUAUGGGGGGACCAUCCUCCAAGGCUAAAUACUCCUGACUGACCGAUAGUGAACCAGUACCGUGAGGGAAAGGCGAAAAGAACCCCGGCGAGGGGAGUGAAAAAGAACCUGAAACCGUGUACGUACAAGCAGUGGGAGCACCCUUUGGGGUGUGACUGCGUACCUUUUGUAUAAUGGGUCAGCGACUUAUAUUCUGUAGCAAGGUUAACCGCAUAGGGGAGCCGGAGGGAAACCGAGUCUUAAUUGGGCGUUAAGUUGCAGGGUAUAGACCCGAAACCCGGUGAUCUAGCCAUGGGCAGGUUGAAGGUUGGGUAACACUAACUGGAGGACCGAACCGACUAAUGUUGAAAAAUUAGCGGAUGACCUGUGGCUGGGGGUGAAAGGCCAAUCAAACCGGGAGAUAGCUGGUUCUCCCCGAAAGCUAUUUAGGUAGCGCCUCGUGAAUUCAUCUCCGGGGGUAGAGCACUGUUUCGGCUAGGGGGCCAUCCCGGCUUACCAACCCGAUGCAAACUGCGAAUACCGGAGAAUGUUAUCACGGGAGACACACGGCGGGUGCUAACGUCCGUCGUGAAGAGGGAAACAACCCAGACCGCCAGCUAAGGUCCCAAAGUCAUGGUUAAGUGGGAAACGAUGUGGGAAGGCCCAGACAGCCAGGAUGUUGGCUUAGAAGCAGCCAUCAUUUAAAGAAAGCGUAAUAGCUCACUGGUCGAGUCGGCCUGCGCGGAAGAUGUAACGGGGCUAAACCAUGCACCGAAGCUGCGGCAGCGACACUCAGGUGUUGUUGGGUAGGGGAGCGUUCUGUAAGCCUGCGAAGGUGUGUCGUGAGGC